AGAGUUUGAUCCUGGCUCAGAUUGAACGCUGGCGGCAUGCCUUACACAUGCAAGUCGAACGGCAGCACGGGGGCAACCCUGGUGGCGAGUGGCGAACGGGUGAGUAAUGCAUCGGAACGUGCCCUGAAGUGGGGGAUAACGUAGCGAAAGUUACGCUAAUACCGCAUAUUCUGUGAGCAGGAAAGCAGGGGAUCGCAAGACCUUGCGCUUUAGGAGCGGCCGAUGUCGGAUUAGCUAGUUGGCGGGGUAAAAGCCCACCAAGGCGACGAUCCGUAGCGGGUCUGAGAGGAUGAUCCGCCACACUGGGACUGAGACACGGCCCAGACUCCUACGGGAGGCAGCAGUGGGGAAUUUUGGACAAUGGGCGCAAGCCUGAUCCAGCCAUGCCGCGUGAGUGAAGAAGGCCUUCGGGUUGUAAAGCUCUUUCGGCGGGGAAGAAAUCGCACUUUCUAAUACAGAGUGUGGAUGACGGUACCCGAAUAAGAAGCACCGGCUAACUACGUGCCAGCCGCCGCGGUAAUAC
rnacentral:rRNA from 1 species